UACACGCAAAGAUGCAAUGGCAAGAGAGCAGAAAUUAAAACAAGGUCAAUCAAAAAGACAUUUGAUUGAUAGAAUACAAGACAGUAUAAAACUUUGUAGAAUAAAAUUGAGUGCGGGAUAGUGGCGGACGGGUGAGUAACGCGUGAAUAAUCUGCCCCAUACAGGGGGAUAGCCUCGGGAAACCGGGAUUAAAACCGCAUAACACUUUAUCACCGCAUGGUGAUGAAGUCAAAUCGAUUAAGAGGUAUGGGAUGAGUUCGCGUCUGAUUAGCUAGUUGGCGGGGUAAAGGCCCACCAAGGCGACGAUCAGUAGCCGGCCUGAGAGGGUGACCGGCCACACUGGAACUGAGACACGGUCCAGACUCCUACGGGAGGCAGCAGUGGGGAAUAUUGCACAAUGGGGGAAACCCUGAUGCAGCGACGCCGCGUGAGUGAAGAAGGUCUUCGGAUCGUAAAACUCUGUCCUUGGUGACGAAGGAAGUGACGGUAACCAAGGAGGAAGCCCCGGCUAACUACGUG
rnacentral:rRNA from 1 species